AGAGUUUGAUCCUGGCUCAGGAUGAACGCUGGCGGCGUGCUUAACACAUGCAAGUCGAGCGAAGCGCUUAAGUUUGAUUCUUCGGAUGAAGACUUUUGUGACUGAGCGGCGGACGGGUGAGUAACGCGUGGGUAACCUGCCUCAUACAGGGGGAUAACAGUUAGAAAUGACUGCUAAUACCGCAUAAGACCACGGUACCGCAUGGUACAGUGGUAAAAACUCCGGUGGUAUGAGAUGGACCCGCGUCUGAUUAGGUAGUUGGUGGGGUAACGGCCUACCAAGCCAACGAUCAGUAGCCGACCUGAGAGGGUGACCGGCCACAUUGGGACUGAGACACGGCCCAGACUCCUACGGGAGGCAGCAGUGGGGAAUAUUGCACAAUGGAGGAAACUCUGAUGCAGCGACGCCGCGUGAAGGAUGAAGUAUUUCGGUAUGUAAACUUCUAUCAGCAGGGAAGAAAAUGACGGUACCUGACUAAGAAGCCCCGGCUAACUACGUGCCAGCAGCCGCGGUAAUACGUAGGGGGCAAGCGUUAUCCGGAUUUACUGGGUGUAAAGGGAGCGUAGACGGCACGGCAAGCCAGAUGUGAAAGCCCGGGGCUCAACCCCGGGACUGCAUUUGGAACUGCUGAGCUAGAGUGUCGGAGAGGCAAGUGGAAUUCCUAGUGUAGCGGUGAAAUGCGUAGAUAUUAGGAGGAACACCAGUGGCGAAGGCGGCUUGCUGGACGAUGACUGACGUUGAGGCUCGAAAGCGUGGGGAGCAAACAGGAUUAGAUACCCUGGUAGUCCACACUGUAAACGAUGAUUACUAGGUGUGGGGGGUCUAACCCCCUCCGUGCCGGAGUUAACACAAUAAGUAAUCCACCUGGGGAGUACGACCGCAAGGUUGAAACUCAAAGGAAUUGACGGGGGCCCGCACAAGCAGUGGAGUAUGUGGUUUAAUUCGACGCAACGCGAAGAACCUUACCAGGACUUGACAUCCCACGCAUAGCCUAGAGAUAGGUGAAGUCCUACGGGACGUGGAGACAGGUGGUGCAUGGUUGUCGUCAGCUCGUGUCGUGAGAUGUUGGGUUAAGUCCCGCAACGAGCGCAACCCUUACUGUCAGUUACCAUCAUUAAGUUGGGGACUCUGGCAGGACUGCCGGUGACAAAUCGGAGGAAGGUGGGGACGACGUCAAAUCAUCAUGCCCCUUAUGUCCUGGGCUACACACGUACUACAAUGGCUGUUAACAAAGUGAAGCAAAGCAGUGAUGUGGAGCAAAACACAAAAAGCAGUCUCAGUUCAGAUUGUAGGCUGAAACUCACCUAUAUGAAGUCGGAAUUGCUAGUAAUCGCAGAUCAGCAUGCUGCGGUGAAUACGUUCCCGGGCCUUGCACUCACCGCCCGUCA
rnacentral:rRNA from 1 species